rnacentral:lncRNA from 1 species
GUGGGUGGGAUGUUGGGACUGGGAGUAGCAUGAGCUCUGCUCCUCCCCGGAUUUCUCCAGCCAGAUUUCUUGGUGGAUGAACUGUGCCUGGAUGCAUCUCUAGAGAUUAUGGAUUCGGAUGGUGCCAAUGGAGGGAUGGGGAUGGUGUGUGUCCUGUGUUUCUGGAGCAGGCUGUGUGGGAUGAGGGGCUGCUAAACCUAAGGGUUGCUUUCCCGGAGGCCUGGCACAAAGCAGAGAGCAGGGGGCAUGGCUCCCCUUCCGAGGGGGAGAAGCUGAGUCUGUGCAGUGAAGCUUGGAUCCUGCAAUGGGAACAGGACCAGAAGGGCUGCAUGCCUCAUCCUCCUCAGUUAGAGAAUCUCCCUGGACUUGAGCAGCAGACAGAGCGCCAGGAGGGAGGUGCAUCCAGAGCAUGUGGUUUGCAGCUCGGAGCUCAAUUACCCCGACAAGAGGAUGGAUGGGAGAGCACUGCGUGCCCGGGGCCGGUCUGGGAACCCCUCCGGAGCGUGGGGAGCUCGGGGUGGUGCGUUUUGUGCAAGGGUUUCUCCGGGCAGGGGGAGAAGCCAGCCCUCAGUAUGGGCUGUGCUCAGAGCAGCAUCUGGCGGGGGCUGCGGAAGCGGCGCUGGGCCGUUGUGUCACACGGAAAAUCUUUUGGAGGGAGCGGGUGGAAUUUCAGCUCGGCAAACCAUUAAAAUAGCAGCGAUUCUGCACCAAAUAAAUUAAGGCUGAUGAUCUGAGACUGGUAAAGC